rnacentral:rRNA from 1 species
UACGUAGGUGGCGAGCGUUGUCCGGAUUUACUGGGCGUAAAGAGCGCGCAGGCGGUCGUCCAAGUCGCGUGUGAAAGCCCCCGGCUCAACUGGGGAGGGUCACGCGAUACUGAUCGACUCGAAGGCAGGAGAGGGUAGUGGAAUUCCCGGUGUAGUGGUGAAAUGCGUAGAUAUCGGGAGGAACACCAGUGGCGAAGGCGACUACCUGGCCUGUUCUUGACGCUGAGGCACGAAAGCGUGGGGAGCAAACAGG